AAAUUGGUUGAUAAUACUCCACAUUUUGCAACAACACUUUUAGGCGGCGGGAGGGGUCGUCUGUGACUUCAAGCACUUCCUUUUCAGUUACCUCAGUGGCCAGAAUGAGACGAGCCAUGGAAUAUGCUGGACACGAAAAGACUAUAUGUUGUACAUCACAGAUGUUACCACAGUUGGUGCAUUUGUCAUCACCAAUGAUCCCAAGUUUGGCUAGGUGUGCAGGUGUUUUAGUGUGACCAAAACGGAGGCGGUUUAAAGUUGUGAUGAAGUCGCGACUUGCUGUUCUUAACUUGUGGUACCAUGGCUUAACUGCAAAAUGCGAGACAGUUCGGGAGGAUGGCCAUUGAGAAGAUCAGCACCUGUUGUUAGAGGCUCCCUACAGUUUAAUUCGCAAGGUCAGAUAUGAGAGAAAGGAAGCUGUCUGCGCAGCUCCUACCCUUCCUGAAGCCAUAUUGCACAUGAGGAAUGAUGCCGUUAGAUUCAACAAACCAGUCAAGUCGACACUUAAUAAUAUUUUCAAAUAUUUUGCCUAUACAUGAAGACAAGGAUAUAGGUCGAUAUGAAUCGGCGUUAUUUGGAGGUUUACCAGGCUUAAGGACUGGGAUCACACAUUGCGUUUUCCAAGACUGCGGAAUUAUUUGUUUCGACCAUAAUGCAUUGAAGAUGGCUAAUAAAAUAUCUAGUACUGUUGAA
rnacentral:lncRNA from 1 species